ACCUUUGAUGAUAUAUCCACAUUUUUGAGGUGCAGAUGGCUCCAAGUCCUUGUUUUUGCAGGGAGAACCUCUUGGAGCUGCUGCAUUUCAGAUGACAUUUCUGGAUUUUCUGAGGC